rnacentral:rRNA from 1 species
UACGGAGGGUGCAAGCGUUAUCCGGAUUCACUGGGUUUAAAGGGUGCGUAGGUGGGGCUGUAAGUCAGUGGUGAAAUCUCCAAGCUUAACUUGGAAACUGCCGUUGAUACUAUAGCUCUUGAAUGUUGUGGAGGUGAGCGGAAUAUGUCAUGUAGCGGUGAAAUGCGUAGAUAUUGGAAAGAACACCGAUGGCGAAGGCACUCUACUGGGCUAUUACUGACACUCAGAGACGAAAGCUAGGGGAGCAAAUGGG